GGCAACCUGCUCGGGUCCCCUGCCACACUAUGGAAGCUUUGUUCUUUUGCUCUUUGCAAUAAAUCUUGCUACUGCUUACUCUUUGGGUCCACACUGCCUUCAUGAGCUGUAACACUCACCGGGAAGGUCUGCAACUUCACUCCUGAGCCAGCGAGACCACGAGCCCACUGGAAGGAACAAACUCCCGCACGCCGCCUUUAAGAACUGUAACACUCACAGAGAGGGCCCGCGGCUUCAUUCCCGAAGUCAGUGAGACCAAGAACCAACCAAUUCCGGGCACGGGAUCAAUUGGGAUUAGAAUUUUAUCCUACUGCUAAAACAUAAAGCAAAAAGGCCAAAAGUGAUCUCACCUUUUCAGAGAAACGCACUUAAAUAGCAGCAGCAGGUGCCUCUCUUUUCUGAGCUUCCCUUCACCUGAAUGUGGUUCUGGUACUUAAAGUUUCUUUUUCUGCAUCCGCUGCUCUGUUAAGUGAUCACCACAUUCAUUGUUCUCGUUUCUAUUAUUUCUGAAAAAAAUCUUCAGGAUUCUGCUUGUGGGAGUGGAUGACAUUUUUACAGUGUUUACAGGCUGAAAAUUUUUCGAGCUUUUAUGCUCUGCUUCCGUUAUAAGGAGGAGGCCUCACAAUCCUGGUGGAAGGCAAGGAGGAGCAAGUCACAUCUUAUGUGGAUGGCAGCAGGCAAAGAAAGCUUAUGCAGACACAAAAUGAACAAGAUGUCUGUGGCAACCCUCAGACCAUUGACGCCUUCUCUCCUAUGUAUCAAAUCACACAUUUGGACGUUGACUGAACCCUCACAUGUCAGAUGCUCAAUAUUGAGGUAUAGUAAAAGGGAGCAUGAACUUGAGAAAAUACGCUUUCAACACAAAGCUGUAAUAAUAUAAGGUCAAAUAAGAUUCUGCAUUGGAGAUAGAAAACUCUGAAGGAAGCUUUAUCUAUUCCAGAAUGUCAUAUAGCUGGUAUAAGGUUCAGGGGGCCCAUGUACAGGUUUGUUACAUGGGUGUAUCUCAUGUUGCUGAGGUUUGGUGUAUAAAUGAUCCCAUCACCCAGGUAGGAAGCAAGGUACCCAGUAGGUAGUUUUUCAACGCAUACUCCUUCCCACUUUCCCCUAUCUAGUAGUAGUCCCCAGUGUCUAUUGUUGCCAUCUUUAUGACCACAUGUACCCAAUAUUUAGCUCCUGCCUAUAAGUGAGAACAUGAGACAUUUGAUUUUCUACUCCUGUGUUAAUUUUCUUAGGAUAAUGCCCUCCAGUUGUGUCCAUGUUGCUUAAAAGGAAAUGCUUUCAUUCUUUUUUUAUGGCUGCAUGGUAUUCUUUUGGGAACCAGCUCAUUGCUUGGUACAGAACCCUGAUAAAGACUAAUUGUUUAAUAAUGGGGCACCAAUUACUCUAUAAUCUCUGUUGCAAUGAGGAUCCAUCAAAUCAUAGUGCUAAUCACAUGCAGCAGGAACCCAUUAUGAAAUGAAAGAUAUAUGUACAUGUGUAAGUGUAUAUGAAAUUAGGCUUGAAUAGAUUGCCACAAAUGAGUAAGUUGUGUGAGCGGGGGGCUCAGAUUCUCAGGACACAUCCACUUGCUGCAUCACCAUUCCACUGUCCACACAUGCAUGUGGCCUAAUAAGGAGUUUCCUAACCCCAGAUUAAAAGAGGGAAAAAAUGAGCUUGUUUUACACAGUAUGCUGUCACUGUUGGAACUGGACUGCUGGCAUAGUUCAACUACUGUCUAGAGUGGCACUGAUGGACAGAAAAGUGAAAUCCUCCAAGUGGGAAGAACUUUGGAAAAUACAUUUGAAUGACCAUUUUGCCUCACAGGAAGGAAACAGUGAUGGAAUAAUGCCUCUUCUGAAAGGUGGUCCCAUUCUAAUCUUAGGAACCUGCAAAUAUGUUACCUUAUAGUGCAUAAGGGCCUUUUCAGAUGUGAUUGAAUUAAAGAUCUGGAGACAGAAGAAUUAUUCUGGAUUUUCUGGGAGAGGACAACAUAAUCACAACAUAAGCACAUUUUUUUUCUCUCUCUGAUGUCCUGCCUCCUUCUUAUAAGGAUAAUCACAUAAUUGGAUCAUGAUAAGAAGGAGGCAAGAGGUCAGAGAAAGAAGAAAUGUGCUACAAAGUUGGAUAUGAAGAUGGAGGGAUGGGUCACGAACAGUCUCUAGAAGCUGAAAAUGUCAGAGGAAAGAAUUCUCCCCUAGAGCCUCCAGAAGGAAAAUAGCCCUAUAAACACUUUGACUUUAGCCCUGUAAGGCACAUUGCAGACUUCUGACCUCCAGAACCGUACUAUAGUAAAAUAAACCUAGGUUGCUUUAAGCCACUCAGCUUAGUUAUUUGUUACAGCAGCAAUAGGAAACUAAUACAGAUAAAUAUAUUCCAAAUCCUUGACAAUCGCUAAUUGUUUGUUUAGUUGGUCAGGUAUUAAAAAAAAAUUUAAAAACCUGUUUUCUGCUGUAAUGUCAUCACUAUUAUUUCAGGCCUGAUUCUAUCGUUUAAAUUUUCUCAUUUUGGACUAUGUUUUCCUUCUUAUUUGAAUGCUUGGGAUUUUUAAAAAUUGUAAUCUUGGCAUUGGCAUUUUUAACUUGCCGGGUGCUGGAUGAUUUUUAUAUACCUAUACAUGUUCUCGAACUUUGUUCUGAGGUGCAGUUACUUGACAGCAGUUUGAUCCUUUUGAGCCAUGCUUUUAAGGAUUUUAUGUAGAACCAGUACAGUUUCUAACUUACAGCUAAUGUUGACAUACUACUGAGGGAAUAUCCUUCUGAGAACUAUUCAUUUGUCCCUGGGAUUAUGAGGUGAUUUACUCUGGAUAGUGAAAUAGAAACCAUUCCAGAACCAAGGAUGGCACUAGGUGUUGUUCCCUCUAUUUUUGGGGGGAAAUAUUGUCUCUGCUUCAAGUAGUUUCAUCACAUGCGUUAGCAGAUCAAUAUUUAAGUGAAGAAUUGAGGGGUACCCUCUGCAUAUCUUCUUAGCUCUCUCAGUACAACUCUCUCUUCCCUGGUAUUACGCCCUGCAAAAUCAAUCUGCCUUAGUCUCAUAAACACUCAGAUUGGUCUCUUUAACCCACAGAGAUAGUCAGGCUCCCCCCUGAUUACCCUCCUUUCCUGUGGCCUGGAACUCUUUCCAGGCAAUGAGCUGGAACAAACAUUUGCCUUAAAUAAUUUGCUUACCCUAUCUCAUGGAUUAUUACCCAGGACUGCUCAAUGUCUGGUGUCAGAAAACUGAUAUUUCACAGUUUAUCCAUUUUUAGAUAUUUUAGUGGGUGGGAAGGUUUAGUUACUUAUUAUUCCAUCUCAAUAAACAACAGAAAUAAUUCACUUGUGAGUUUGAAUAAUUAUAUUGCAGUAUUUUUUACUUUAUUCUAACAAUUACCGCAUUUCUUACACUCAAUCUGAGCACAAGCACUACAACCCUAUCAAUAUUCCACACCUGAAAUAAACUAACAUGACUAACACCUAUAAUUCCAUUAAUUUUAUUAUCCCUAGGAGGUUUACCCCCAUUAAUGGGAUUUCUCCCUAAAUGAGUUACCAUCCAAGAACUUACAAAAAACAACAGUCUUAUUACCCCAACCAUUAUAGAUAUUAUAACCCUACUCAACCUAUACUUUUACACACGCUUAAUUUACUCUACCUCAGUGACAAUAUUCCCCACAUCUAAUAACAUAAAAAUAAAAUGACGGUUCAAAAACACAAAGUCCAUAUUACCCCUCCCCCCACUUAUAAUCUCUACCCUCCUCUUACCUAUUUCUCCAUUAACACUAUCUAUGAUCUAGAAAUUUAGGUUAAAUAAGACCAAUGGCCUUCAAAGCCUUUAGCAAGUAAAUUAUACUUAAUUUCUGCAACAAACCUAAGGACUGCAAGACUCCACUCUGCAUCAAUUGAACGCAAAUCAACUACUUUAAUUAAGCUAAGCCCUCUCUAGAUUGGUGGAAUUAAACCCACGAAAAUUUAGUUAACAGCUAAACACCCUAAUCAAGUGGCUUCAAUCUACUUCUCCCGCCGCUGGGAAAAAAGGCGGGAGAAGCCCUGGCAGGAGUGAAGCUGCUCCUUUGAACUUAGUCUGAAUUUUCAUGUUGAAUUCAACAUGAAAAUCACCUCGGGACUGGUAAAAAGAGGCCUUAACCUCCAUCUUCAGAUUUGCAGUCUAAUGUUUACUCAGCCAUUUUACCUUUUUCACUCCACUUAUGUUCAUCAACCGUUGAUUGUUUUCAAGCAACCACAAAGACAUGGGAACAUUAUAGUUACUAUUCUGUGCAUGAGCAGGGAUAGCAGGCACAGCCUUAAGCCUCCUUAUUCAAGCAGAACUGGGCCAACCAGGUACUCUGCUAGAAGAUGAUCAAAUUUACAAAGUUAUUGUUACCUCCCACGCAUUUAUCAUAAUUUUCUUUAUAGUUAUACCAAUCAUAAUCGGAGGUUUUGGCAACUGAUUAGUUCCUCUCAUAAUUGGCUCUCCUGAUAUGGCAUUUCCCCGAAUAAAUAACGUGAGUUUCUGACUUCUCCCUCCCCCCCUUUCCUACUGUUAUUUGCAUUCUCAAUGGUAGAGGCUGGCAGUGGGACCCGCUGGACAGUUUAUCCUCCCUUAACAGGAAUCUUAACAUGCAGGAUCCUCUGUGGACCUGACCAUCUUCUCACUUAAUUUAGCAGGCAUCUUUUCUAUUCUAGAAGCUAUUAAUUUUACUACCACAAUCAUUAACAUGAAUCCCCUGGCCAUAUCCCUACAUCACACACCCCUCUUCGUCUGAUCAGCCCCAGUUACAGCAGUUCUUCUACUUCUUUCUCUUCCAGACCUAGCCGCCGGCAUUACUAUGCUAUUAACUGACUGUAAUCUCAACACUACAUUGUCUGACCCAGCUGUCAGAGGUGACCCUGUCCUGCAUUAACACUUAUCUGAUUUUUUGGCCACUCUGAAGUCUAUGUCCUUAUCUUACAAGGCUUCUGGAUAAUCUCCCACAUCGUAACACACUAUUCUGGAAAAAAGGAACCAUUUGUGUGCAUGGGCAUAGUAUGAGCCAUAGUAUCAGUUGGUUUCUUAGGAUUAUCAUAUGGGCUCACCACAUACUUACAGUAGGAAUAGAUGUAGAUAUAGGAGCAUACUUCACCUCUGCCACUAUAAUUAUUGCCCUCCCCGCUGGCAUCAAAGUCUUUAGUUGGUUAGCUUCACUACAUGGCAGCAACAUCAAAUGAUCCCCCACAAUUCUUUGAGCCCUGGGAUUUAUAUCCCCUUUUACAUUAGGAGGUCUGACCGGCAUUGUACUAGCUAACUCAUCACUAGACAUUGUCUUGCAUGACACAUAUUAUGUUGUAGCUCAUUUCCAUUACAUCUUAUCAGUAGGAGCCGUAUUUGCUAUUAUAGGAGGCUUUGUCCACUGAUUUCCCCUAUUCUCAGGUUAUAUACUUAGUCAGACCUAUGCUAAAAUUCACUUUUCCAUCAUGUUUAUAGGUGUUAAUUUGACUUUUUUCCCACAGCAUUUCCUGAACAGGGAAAAGUUGAAAGCAUUCCCACUGAGAAAUGGAACAAGACAAGGAGGCCCACUCUUACCACUUCUGUUCGACAUAAUACUAGAAGUCCUAGACAGAGCUAUCAGAAAAGAGAAAGAAAUAAAUGGCAUUCAAAUCGGUAAAGAGGAAGUCAAACUGUUGCUAUUUGCUGGUGAUAUGAUCAUAUAUCAGAAAACUCUAAAGACUCCUCUAAAAAGUUCCUCAACUGGUAAAGGAAUUCAGGAGAGUUUCAGGAUACAAAAUUAAUGUACACAAAUCCAUUGCUCUGCUAUACACCAAUAGCAACCAAGCUGAGAAUCAAAUCAAGAACUCAACCCCUUUCACAAUAGCUGCAAAAAGUAAAAUAAAAUACUUAGGAAUACAUCUAACUAAGGACAUGAAGGGCCUGUACAAGGAAAAUUAAAAAACACCACUAAAAGAAAUAAUAAAUGAUACAAACAAAUGGAAACACAUCCUAUGCUCAUGGAUGGAUCAAAUCAAUAUUGUGAAAAUGGUCAUAGUGCCACAAACAAUCUACAAAUUUAAUGAAAUUCCCAUCAAAAUACCACCAUCAUUUUUCACACUUCUUGAUUCAUGGAAGGAGGUCAAAACAAGAGCUUGGAAGUAGUUGAUUUCAACCCUCAUGGAUGACUUUGAGGGUUUCAAAACUUCAGUCACGGAAGUAACUGAAGCUUUGGUGGAAAUAGCGAGAGAAGUAGAAUUAGAAGUGGAGCCUGAAGAUGUGAAUGAAUUAGUGCAAUCUCAUGACAAAACUUGAAUGGAUGAGGAAUUGUUUCUUAUGGAUGAGGAAAGAAACUGGUUUCUUGAGAUGGAAUCAACUCCCGAUGAAGACACGGCAAACGUUGUUGAAAUGGCAAGAAAAGACUUGGAAUAUUACAUAAACUUAGUUGAAAAAGCAUUAGCAGGGUUUGAGAGAAUUGGCUCAAAUUUUGAAAGAAUUUCUACUAUAAAUAAAAUGCUAUCAAACAGCAUCACAUGUUACAGAUAAAUCUUUCAUUGAAGGAAAAGAAAAUAAAUGCCACAAAUUUCAUCUUUGUCUUAUAUUUGAAAUUAUCACAGUCAUCCCAACCUUCAGCAAUCACCAACCUGAUCAACAGCCAUCAACAUUGAAGCAAGACUUUUCAUCAGCAAAAAUAUUAUUACUCACUAAAGGCUCAGAUAAUCAUUAGCAUGUUUUAUCAAUAAAGUAUUUUUUAAUUAAGGUAUUUCUAUUGGCUUUUUUGGCCCUGCCAAGUCUUAUGUUGAAACUUGAUCUCCAGUGUAGGAGGUGUUUGGAUUGUGGAGGAACAUCCCUCAUGAAUGACUUGGUGUCAUUCUUGCAGAGUGAGUUUUCUUGUUCCCAUGAGAACUGGUUGUUCCAAAAGACUGUUACCUCCUCCUCUUUCUUUUUUGCUUCCUCUCUUGCCAUGUGAUCUCUGCAGACAAGCUCCCCUUCCACCAUGAGUAAAAGCAGCUUGAGACCCUCACCAGAUACAGAUGAAAAAGCCAUGCUUCUUCUACAGCCUGCAGAACUGUGAACCAAAUAAAUAUUUUUUGUUAUGAAUUACCCUACCUCAGGUAUAUCUUUGUAACAACACUAGUGGAAUAAGAUAGAUAUGUACUUUUUUAGGCAUAGUGCUACUGCGCACUUCAUAGACUACAGUAUAGUAUAAACAUAACUUUUAAAUGCACUGGGAAACCACACAAUUUAUGUCACUUGCUUUACAGCAGUAUUUACUUUGUUGCUGUGGUCUGAAAUUGAACCUGCAAUAUCUAGAGGUGUGCCUGUACCUAUAGCCAUGGGAGAGGCCCUCAGCGCUUGCAAGCACUGAGACUGGUAUAGGGAGUUGCCUGGAAUCCACCUGAUGGCAUUGUUCCGAAGAGAGAGAGGUCCUGCUGGGCCCCACACAACUCCCAAGAGCCAAGCACCUGAAGCAUGCUGCCAUUUUAGAGCCCAGACUCCACCAGACUGCACCGUGCCCUGGGGCCUAACAGCCCCUGCAUCUCCACAUCCCAAGAUCCCUGCUGACAUCUCACCACAUCCACUCCAAGAGCUGCAGCAUCACAAUGCCAGCUCAACUGAGCACUGCAGCUGCGUUACAUACUAAGCAGAGAUCCAUGAAAAAUCUUUCUACCAAAUUCAUUGAUACAAUUGCAAUUCAUGCCAUGUUUGAGUUACCUAUAUAUACAAAUGCAUUUCCUUCCUUCUUGUUUUCUUUCUUCCUUCCUUUCUCUAUUCAUUCCUUCCUUCCCUUUCUUCCUUCUGUUUCUUUUUCUUCCUUCUUUCCCUCCUCUCUCUCUAUAUUAUUUCCUUCCUUCCUUCCCAUUCUCUCUCUACUUCCUUCCCUUUCUUUACUUUCUUCCUUCCUUUCUUUUCCUUCCUUCUUUCUUUUUUCUCUUUCUUUCAUUCUACCUUCCUUUCUC
rnacentral:lncRNA from 1 species